rnacentral:rRNA from 1 species
CCUACGGGAGGCUGCAGUGGGCAAUAUUGGACAAUGGGGGGAACCCUGAUCCAGCCAUGCCGCGUGUGUGAAGAAGGCCCUCGGGUUGUAAAGCACUUUCAGUGAGGAAGAACGCCUGGUGGUUAAUACCCAUCAGGAAAGACAUCACUCACAGAAGAAGCACCGGCUAACUCCGUGCCAGCAGCCGCGGUAAUACGGAGGGUGCGAGCGUUAAUCGGAAUUACUGGGCGUAAAGCGCGCGUAGGUGGCUUGAUAAGCCGGUUGUGAAAGCCCCGGGCUCAACCUGGGAACGGCAUCCGGAACUGUCAAGCUAGAGUGCAGGAGAGGAAGGUAGAAUUCCCGGUGUAGCGGUGAAAUGCGUAGAGAUCGGGAGGAAUACCAGUGGCGAAGGCGGCCUUCUGGACUGACACUGACACUGAGGUGCGAAAGCGUGGGUAGCAAACAGGAUUAGAUACCCCUGUAGUC